AAUCAACGCUGGCGGCGUGCCUAACACAUGCAAGUCGCACGAGAAAGGGGAGCAAUCCCUGAGUAAAGUGGCGCACGGGUGAGUAACACGUGAAUCAUCUACCUCCGAGUGGGGAAUAACUGAGAGAAAUCUUAGCUAAUACCGCAUAACACUUACGAGUCAAAGCAGCAAUGCGCUUGGAGAGGAGUUCGCGGCCGAUUAGUUAGUUGGCGGGGUAAUGGCCCACCAAGACGAUGAUCGGUAUCCGGCCUGAGAGGGCGCACGGACACACUGGAACUGAAACACGGUCCAGACUCCUACGGGAGGCAGCAGUGGGGAAUUUUGCGCAAUGGGGGAAACCCGUGACGCAGCAACGCCGCGUGGAGGAUGAAGUAUCUUGGUACGUAGACUCCUUUCGAUUGGGAAGAUAAUGACGGUACCAAUAGAAGAAGCCCCCGGCUAACUUCGUGCCAGCAGCCGCCGUAAC
rnacentral:rRNA from 1 species